UGGAGUGCAUGCCUGUGAUCUCAACUCU
rnacentral:misc_RNA from 1 species